GUCUUCGUGGCUCAGUUGGUUAGAGCGUUGGUCUCAUAUCAUGUAUGACUUAGUGGGCAACCAUUAAGAGAUCCAAUCCAAAGGUCGUGAGUUCGAGUCUCACCGAGGACA